rnacentral:rRNA from 1 species
UACAGAGGUCUCAAGCGUUGUUCGGAUUCAUUGGGCGUAAAGGGCGUGUAGGUGGCGCGCUAAGUCGGGUGUGAAAUUUCGGAGCUUAACUCCGAAACUGCAUUCGAUACUGGCGUGCUUGAGGACGGGAGAGGAGACUGGAAUUCAUGGUGUAGCAGUGAAAUGCGUAGAGAUCAUGAGGAAGACCAGUGGCGAAGGCGGGUCUCUGGACAGUUCCUGACGCUGAGACACGAAGGCCAGGGGAGCAAACGGG